rnacentral:snRNA from 1 species
AAAUGUAAGAACCAUCUGGCUGUGACAUUGGAAACCUCACUGAUCAUCAGGGUUCAUUCCACUGAUAUGGUUGGCAAAGUGGGUGUCCCUUUCCUCCUGACACCUCCAUGGGCAUUGCAUCCCUUCGGAAGUUGCACACUCAGUCCAAGAAGAUGCCUUUCCCUGAUAGAGGAGGAUCAGUCUUCAGUCAAGGGUAUGCAGGUAGUUGUGUUCCUCUGCUAGAACUUGCAAACAAGCUCUCAGUGUCUACCUGUGGAAGCCAUAGUCAAGCUUCCAAGACUCCAGACAUACCCAAAUGAGGCACUGCAUGAGGCAAUCUGCCUUU